rnacentral:rRNA from 1 species
UGGGGAAUAUUGCACAAUGGGGGAAACCCUGAUGCAGCGACGCCGCGUGAACGAAGAAGGUAUUCGUAUCGUAAAGUUCUGUCCUAUGGGAAGAUAAUGACAGUACCAUAGAAGAAAGCUCCGGUUAAAUACGUGCCAGCAGCCGCGGUAAUACGUAUGGAGCGAGCGUUGUCCGGAAUUAUUGGGCGUAAAGGGUACGCAGGCGGUUUAAUAAGUCGAAUGUUAAAGAUCGGGGCUCAACCCCGCAAAGCAUUGGAAACUGAUAAACUUGAGUAGUGGAGAGGAAAGUGGAAUUCCUAGUGUAGUGGUGAAAUACGUAGAUAUUAGGAGGAAUACCAGUAGCGAAGGCGACUUUCUGGACACAAACUGACGCUGAGGUACGAAAGCGUGGGGAGCAAACAGG